ensembl:lncRNA
GUUUAUUGGUAGCAUGUCUUUAGCAGGACAGUAGGCUAUGGCAUUCGUUAUGUCGCUAUGUCUCUUAGCUUUUUUGUCAUAUGGUAAGACGCUGGAGAAAGCCGACUCAAUUGACUGUUGCUGCUUCGCAGGGAUUCCCCUGGUUGUUUUCGAUGACAAAUUAGCACUUUCAGUCAGAGAUUGAGCGUGCUCUAGUGGGUGGCACUGCUUCAGGUGAUGAAAAAGGUUUGUUGUAUUUCCAGACUUAGUGGGAACAUGCUUUCGGCACAACUUACAGUGCGUGCUACUCUGUUUUUUGUCAGACUUCAAAUAGCCGAAAUAUCUCCACACUACGGAACUUUUCUGGCCCUACUUUUCGACAAUCUCUUCGGCAUUCGAACCGUCAUCCGUGUUCUCUUCGGUAACGUGGUCACCCGAGCUCUCGGUCGAUUUUUCUCUACUUGGUACACUCAUUUUCUCCAUUACCCGGUCGACACGGUGGUUAGCUGCUUCGCAAACAAAUACGCACGUGCGGCUUGGCACUUGUACGUAACAAGGCACGUGACGUGGAUUGGCUCUGUGCUACUUAAUUUGGAUUGGCUGUUCCUUUUUUUUUUUUUUUUUAAAGAGGAAGAGAGAGAGAUGAGGUCUAUCGCGAUAGUUGUAUUUUCCUAUCGAGAAGAAGUUAUAUCGCAAUACAUAUCGUUAUCGUUCUAUCGCCCAGCUCUACUGCAAACGUUUUGGGUUGUCGGUUAGAUAACCCAGGAACUAUUUGGCAUUGCAAAGCAGCGAAUGUCGACCUGAAGUCUGCUGCAUGGAAGUUUACUGUUUAUUGAUAAAGUGGUGGCUAACUGGCAGAACAUCCAGACUGUGAGCAGCUAGUUGCCCUGUUUGGACAUUUUGGUGGCCUGAAAGUGGACAGCAAACACGCAGUGCCCAAAGUGGCCCAGACACACCCCAUAUAUUCUGCAGCUGUUCUUGAGAGCUUCUGCGCUGCUUCGGAGUUGAGGCCUGCUUGCCAGAGUCUUCUCUGCUGGACACGUGACUUUCCAAAGCUACUACCCCGUUUGUUUACUUCAGAUGGAGCGAAGCGACCAUUAAGUUUGGGGUCACAACGAUCCCCAGCUAUGAUUCAGUCCUGCGACUUUUACUUUCCCUUAUGUUGUUUUAACGGCUUAAAAUAAGAUAGUUAUUGUUAAUUGAUGAAAUUACUCUGAAAUUUCAGUUGAACAACUAAACAAAAGUGGACUUUUUUUUUUUUAAUUAGAAUCAGUGAACAGACACUUUUAAGUUUAAGUACUCAGUAGGUUCAUUUUGUUUAUGGUGAAAAAUAUUUG